rnacentral:rRNA from 1 species
UACGAAGGGGGCUAGCGUUGCUCGGAAUCACUGGGCGUAAAGCGCACGUAGGCGGAUCGUUAAGUCGGAGGUGAAAUCCUGGAGCUCAACUCCAGAACUGCCUUCGAUACUGGCGAUCUUGGAGUCCGGGAGAGGUGAGUGGAACUCCGAGUGUAGAGGUGAAAUUCGUAGAUAUUCGGAAGAACACCAGUGGCGAAGGCGGCUCACUGGCCCGGUACUGACGCUGAGGCGCGAAAGCGUGGGGAGCAAACAGG